rnacentral:rRNA from 1 species
AGGGUUUGAUCCUGGCUCAGAACGAACGUUGGCGGCGUGGAUGAGGCAUGCAAGUCGAACGUGAAAGCCGCAAGGUGAGUAGCGUGGCGGACGGGCGAGUAACACGUAACCAAGCUACCUGCGAGACGGGGAUAACCUCGGGAAACCGAGGCUAAGACCCGAUGGUCUGCCGGGGACGCAUGUUCCUGGUAGUAAAUGGGCGGGAUCCUUCGGGAUCGCCUGCUCGCAGAGGUGGUUGCGGCCCAUCAGCUAGUUGGUAGGGUAACGGCCUACCAAGGCAACGACGGGUAGCCGGCCUUAGAGGGUGGUCGGCCGCACUGGGACUGAGACACUGCCCAGACUCCUACGGGAGGCUGCAGUCGAGAAUCUUCCGCAAUGGGCGAAAGCCUGACGGAGCGACGCCGCGUGGAGGACGAAGGCCUUCGGGUUGUAAACUCCUGUCACGAGUUAAGAAGGUCGGCUUACGAACAGUGAGCCGAUUUGACGUAAGCUCGAGAGGAAGCACUGGCUAACUCUGUGCCAGCAGCCGCGGUAAUACAGAGAGUGCAAACGUUGUUCGGAAUUACUGGGCUUAAAGCGCACGUAGGCUGCGUCGUAAGUGUCAGGUGAAAUCCCACGGCUCACCCGUGGAACUGCCUGGCAGACUGCGAUGCUAGAGUGUGGUAGGGGAGAGCGGAACUCUUGGUGGAGCGGUGAAAUGCGUAGAUAUCAAGAGGAACACCGGUGGCGAAGGCGGCUCUCUGGUCCACAACUGACGCUGAGGUGCGAAAGCUAGGGGAGCAAACGGGAUUAGAUACCCCGGUAGUCCUAGCUGUAAACGAUGGGCACUAGCUUGGGGUCUCCCUGUGUGAUCCCAGGUGAAGUAAAAAUGAUAAGUGCCCCGCCUGGGGAGUAUGGUCGCAAGGCUGAAACUCAAAGGAAUUGACGGGGGCUCACACAAGCGGUGGAGCAUGUGGUAAAUAUCGUGACUGGGAAAC